UCUUCCGCAAUGGACGAAAGUCCGACGGAGCAACGCCGCGUGAGUGAUGAGGGUUUUCGGAGCGUAAAGCUCUGUUGCUAGGGAAGAACAAGUGCCGUUCAAAUAGGGCGGCACCUUGACGGUACCUAACCAGUAAGCCACGGCUAACUACGGGCCAGCAGCCGCGGUAAUACGUAGGUGGCAAGCGUUGUCCGGAAUUAUUGGGCGUAAAGGGCUCGCAGGCGGUUUAUUAAGUCUGAUGUGAAAGCCCCCGGCUCAACCGGGGAGGGUCAUUGGAAACUGGGGAACUUGAGUGCAGAAGAGGAGAGUGGAAUUCCACGUGUAGCGGUGAAAUGCGUCGAGAUGUGGAGGAACACCAGUGGCGAAGGCGACUCUCUGGUCUGUAACUGACGCUGAGGAGCGAAAGCGUGGGGAGCGAACAG
rnacentral:rRNA from 1 species